rnacentral:rRNA from 1 species
UAACUCCGUGCCAGCAGCCGCGUGUAAUACAUAGGGGGCAAGCGUUAAUCGGAAUUACUGGGCGUAAAGCGUGCGUAAGCGGUUUAUUAAGUCAGAUGUGAAAGCCCCGGGCUUAACCUGGGAACUGCAUUUGAAACUGGUCAACUAUAGUAUGGUAGAGGAAAGUGGAAUUUCUGGUGUAGCGGUGAAAUGCGUAGAUAUCAGAAGGAACAUCAAUGGCGAAGGCAGCUUUCUGGACCAAUACUGACGCUGAGGUACGAAAGCGUGGGUAGCAAACAGGAUUAGAUACCCUGGUAGUCCACGCCGUAAACGAUGAUAACUAGCCGUUGGGGGGAUUUACCCUUUAGUGGCGAAGCUAACGCGUUAAGUUAUCCACCUGGGGAGUACGGCCGCAAGGUUAAAACUCAAAGG